rnacentral:rRNA from 1 species
ACACCAAAGCUAUAGACAUCAGCCUUUUCCGUGAUCUGUGAUGUCAACCAUUCAGGAGCUAAAUAUCCAGGUGUGCCUCUCAUUCUGGUAAACACUUGGCUCAUAUCCCUGUCAAUGAGCUUGCAUAGUCCAAAAUCAGAAAGUUUAGCAUCGAAGUCAUCAUCUAAGAGGAUGUUUUGUGGUUUGACAUCCAAAUGGGCAAUCUUUUUCAUGCACUCCUCAUGA